rnacentral:rRNA from 1 species
AUUGAACGCUGGCGGCAUGCCUUACACAUGCAAGUCGAACGGCAGCACGGGAGCAAUCCUGGUGGCGAGUGGCGAACGGGUGAGUAAAGUAUCGGAACGUGCCCAGUCGUGGGGGAUAACGUAGCGAAAGUUACGCUAAUACCGCAUACGAUCUAUGGAUGAAAGCGGGGGAUCGCAAGACCUCGCGCGAUUGGAGGGGCCGAUAUCAGAUUAGGUAGUUGGGGGGGUAAAGGCUCACCAAGCCGACGAUCUGUAGCUGGUCUGAGAGGACGACAAUCCACACGGGGACUGAGACACGGCCCAUACUCCAACGGGAGGCAGCAGUGGGGAAUUUGGGACAAUGGGCGAAAGCCUGAUCCAGCCAUGCGGCGUGCAGGAUGAAGGCGUUCGGGUUGUAAACUGGUUUUGUACGGAACGAAAAGGUUUGACUUAAUACGUUGGACUCAUGACGGUACCGUAAGAAUAAGCACCGGCUAACUACGUGCCAGCCGCCGCAGUAA